AUUGAACGCUGGCGGCAGGCCUAACACAUGCAAGUCGAGCGGAUGCAGGGAGCUUGCUCCUGGAUUCAGCGGCGGACGGGUGAGUAAUGCCUAGGAAUCUGCCUGGUAGUGGGGGAUAACGUCCGGAAACGGGCGCUAAUACCGCAUACGUCCUGAGGGAGAAAGUGGGGGAUCUUCGGACCUCACGCUAUCAGAUGAGCCUAGGUCGGAUUAGCUAGUUGGUGGGGUAAAGGCCUACCAAGGCGACGAUCCGUAACUGGUCUGAGAGGAUGAUCAGUCACACUGGAACUGAGACACGGCCCAGACUCCUACGGGAGGCAGCAGUGGGGAAUAUUGGACAAUGGGCGAAAGCCUGAUCCAGCCAUGCCGCGUGUGUGAAGAAGGUCUUCGGAUUGUAAAGCACUUUAAGUUGGGAGGAAGGGCAGUAAGUUAAUACCUUGCUGUUUUGACGUUACCAACAGAAUAAGCACCGGCUAACUUCGUG
rnacentral:rRNA from 1 species